UGCCAGAACACAGGUGUCAUGAAAACCACCACUAAAUCAAAGCCAAAAUGGGAAAGGAAAAGACCUGCAUCAACAUCGUUGUCAUUGGACACAUUGAUUCAGGCAAGUUGACCACUACUGGCCAUUUGAUCUACAAAUUUAGUGAUUUCAACAAAAGAACCAUUGAGAAAUUCAAGAAGGAGGCUGCUGCAAUGGGAAUGGGCUCUUUCAAGUAUGCCUGGGCCUUUGGUAAACUGAAAGCCACGCAUGAGUGUGGUAUCACCAUUGACAUCUCCUUGUGGAAAUUUGAGACUAACAAUUAUUAUGUGACUGUCAUUGAUGCCCCAGGACACCGAGACUUCAUCAAAAACAUGAUUACUGACACUUCUCAGGCUAACUGUGUUGUCCUGAUUGUUGCUGCUGAUGCUGGGGAAUUUGAAGCUGGUAUCUCCAAGAAUGGGCAGACUCGUGAGCAUGGCCUUCUGGCUUACACCCUUGGUGUGAAGCAACUAAUUAAUUGUUGGUGUUAAAAUGGAUUCCACUGAACCACCUUACAGCCAGAAGAGGUACAAGGAAAUCGUUAAGGGAGUCAGCACCUACAUUAAAAAAAAUUGGGUACCUUGACACAGUAGCAUUUGUGCCAAUUUCUGUUUGCAAUGGUGACAACAUGCUGGAGCCAGAUGCUAAUAUGCCGUGGUUCAAGAGAUGGAGUCACCUGCCAAGACAGCCCUGCCAGUGGAACCACACUGCUGGAAGCCCUGGAUUGCAUCCUCCCACCAACUAGACCAACUGACAAGCUUCUGAAUCUGCCCUUGCAGGAUGUCUACAAUAUUGGUGGGAUUGGUACUGUGCCUGUGAGCCAAGUGGGAGACUGGUGGUUCUGAAACCUUGUAUGGUCAUGAUCUUUGCUUCUGUCAACAUCACAACUGAGGUCAAGUCUGUUGAAAUGCACCAUAAAGCUUUGAGUGAAGCUCUUCCUGGUGACAACAUGGGCUUCAGUGUCAAGAACGUGCCAGUCAAAGAUGUUCAUCAUGGCAAUGUGGCUGAUGACAGCAAAAAUGACCCACCAAUGGAAGCAGCUGGAUUUAUUGCUCAGGUGAUCAUUCUGAACCAUCCAGGACAAAUCAGUACUGGGUAUGUCCCUGUGCUGGAUUGCCACACAGCUCACCUCGCCUGCAAGUUGACUGAGCUAAAGGAAAAGAUUGAUCAUCAUUCUGGAAAGAAGCUGGAAGAUGGCCCUAAAUUCCUAAAACCUGGUGAUGCUGCCAUUGUUGACAUGGGCCCUGUCAAGCCCAUGUGUGUGGAAAGCUUCUCUGACUAUCCUCCUGUGGGUCAUUUCACUGUCCAUGUUAUGAGGCAGAUGGUUGCCAUUGGUGUCAUCAAAGCAGUGGACAAGAAGGCUGCUGGAGCCGGCAAGGUCACGAAGUCUGUCCAGAAAGCUCAGAAGGCUAAAUAAA